GAUGAACGCUGGCGGUGCGCCUAACACAUGCAAGUCGAGCGAGAUUCGCUUAUUUGACCUCUUCGGAGUGAUUAUUAGCGUUGAAAGCGGCGAACGGGUGAGUAACACAUUGGUACCUGCCCAUCACUCAGGGAUAGCCCAUCGAAAGAUGGAUUAAUACCGGAUAGUCCCUACGGGGUAAAGAUUUAUCGGUGAUGGAGGGGCCUGUGGCCUAUCAGCUUGUUGGUAGUGUAAUAGACUACCAAGGCUAUGACGGGUAGCUGGUCUGAGAGGAUGAUCAGCCACAAUGGAACUGAGACACGGUCCAUACACCUACGGGUGGCAGCAGUGAGGAAUCUUCCGCAAUGGGCGAAAGCCUGACGGAGCGACACCGCGUGGAGGAUGAAGGUUUUGCUAUUGUAAACUCCUUUUCUGUGGGAAGAUAAUGACGGUACCACAGGAAUAAGGGACGGCUAACUACG
rnacentral:rRNA from 1 species